AGUUCUAGUUUUGGCCCACUCAAAAUCAGCGGAGACAAUGAGAGAGUUCUAGUUCUUCCAUGAUUCCAAUAUCAACCUUCUUUCUUUGUCUUCAAGCCAAAACCCCACAAAAACCUUAACGUCUAUAGGCUUGAAAAGGUAGAACAAGCACAUGUCGACUCUCCCCAAAAUUGAAACUGUUCUGUCAACGGCAGCCUCUGCCAUUCUCUUCUGUUCCAUAGCCAGAAAUCUCAUCCCCCAAGCCGUUGAGGAAUACCUGCAUUCAACCCUUCAAAAUAUAUCAGCCCGUUUCUCUUCUCAGCUUGCUGUCAUCAUUGAAGAGUUCGAAGGCCUCGCUGUUAACCAAAUGUUUCAGGCUGCUAAUCUAUACUUAGGCUCCAACUUAUCUCCCAAAACAAGAAGGGUCAAGGUGAAUAAACCAGAGAAGGAGAAGGAACUGGCAGUUACUAUUGAUAGGGAUCAAGAAUUGGUUGAUGUGUUUAAAGGAGUGAAGUUGAAGUGGGUUUUAAUUUCUUCACACAUUGAAAUGCCUGUUGCUUCUAACAAGAAACGCCAUGACAGCGCAUUGCCACGAUCUGAGCUACGAUUCUUUGAGCUGAGUUUCCAUGAGAAGUAUAGAGACAUGGUGUUGAGCUCUUAUUUACCUUACAUUCUUCAAAAGGCGAAAGAAAUAAGAGAAGAGAAAAAGACACUGAAGCUGCAUACAGUCGACUAUAAUGGUACUGAUUACUGGGGAUCCAUCAACUUUCAUCAUCCUGCAAAAUUUGACACAAUAGCAAUGGAUCCAGAGAUGAAGAAUACGCUGAUUGAGGAUCUUGAUCGAUUCAUAGCAGGGAAGGAGUUCUAUAGCAGAGUAGGCAAGGCUUGGAAACGUGGGUAUUUGUUAUAUGGACCACCUGGAACAGGAAAAUCAAGUUUGGUUGCUGCCAUGGCUAAUUAUCUCAAGUUUGAUGUUUAUGAUUUGGAUAUGAAGGAGGUUCAAUGCAAUUCGGAUUUAAGAAGGUUGCUGAUUGGCACGGGCAAUCGGUCCAUAUUAGUGGUUGAAGAUAUUGAUCGUUCUUUCGAGUCUGUGGAAGAUGAUAAGGUAAGUUCUUAUAUCCAGUUUCAUUUAAAUGCAAUUUGUAUACAAGGUUAGCCAUGAUGUCACAGUUACAUUCAUGAUUGGGCCAAUAAGCAAUUGAACAUACCUGAACUGUUAAGUCAAGUCUUUCAUCCAGAUGCUUCAGUCCAAAUUGUUCUUGUGUUCAGCAUAGUUAGCCCAGUAAACUUGCCUUUGCAUCACAGGUUACUCUCUCUGGUUUUCUGAAUUUCAUUGACGGCUUGUGGUCGAGCUGCGGAGAUGAAAGGAUUAUAGUGUUUACAACCAAUCACAGGGCCCAGCUUGACCCAGUAUUGCUAAGACCAGGGCGUAUGGAUAUGCAGUUGCACAUGUCUUACUGCACUUUUAUUGGUUUCAAGAUACUUGCAUCAAACUAUUUGCAUGUUCAGGAGCAUCAAUUAUUUGAAGAAAUUGAACAUCUGUUGGAGAAGGUUCAGAUUACGCCUGCUGAAGUUGCAGGAGAGCUAAUGAAACAUAAAGAUGCAGAUCUUGCACUUCAAGAACUAAUCAAGUUCCUCCAAAACAAGCUAACAUCUAUAUUGCUGUAGGCAAAGCUAAAAGACCACAAGCAUCAAUAGUCCUUAGGAACUUUUUUCCUUUGUAGGAAAAGAAAAUGCAAGCAUUGUCUUGGCCAUCAACAUAAAGCAUAAUAUGCUAGGCUUUGUUAGUAAAAUUAUCAAAGACAGAUUAAUUUCUUUUUUGGCUCCUGCCUUUGUUCAAUUGCUGAACCUUGUGAAAAGAGACAUAUAACAAACAGGAAAAUUUUGCAAACUCAAACUCUCUAUUGCUUAAUCACUAUUAUCAAACCAGGUACAAGAUUUGAUGCAAACCAUCUAUGACUAAAAUUUGGGAGCUUGAGAAAAUUUUCAAAAUUUGGGAACCUCAGAAAAUUUUUAUUCUUACCAUUUUAAAGAUCUACACUGCCAUUUUCAUAUCUAUUUCCUAAUGGGAUCAUAACCAAUAAAUUCGAAAUCAGAUGCCUGAGAUGAAUCAAUGUACUUUUUCAGGGGAUUUAUCCUCAGAAUCUGCAGUCUAGGAGCAGGAGUAAUUGUAAGUUAGAAAAAAAAUCCACAAAUGGUAGCAACCUAAGCAGUCAAUCAAUUGAAAAUUGCCAUAGAUUGGCAUCAACUACUUAAUAUUUCUGAAUGUACGCCAAAACCAAUGGUACACUGAAAUUCUGGAACCCCGAUAGCAUUUCCUAGUAAGAACAUCCUCCAAAAUAAAAUGAUAUUAAUUUCUUCUUCUUCUUCUAGGAAGCUUCUGAAGCUACUUCUGCAGAGGGCUGAUGAGCAUCUCCAAUUACAUGGAUAAAGACCUGUGCAAACAUAUGAAAAGGUGGAAGUGCCAGUAAUUUGAGAUCUGAUGGAUUCCAUACUGUGAGGAUAAUACACCUGUCAUCUGGUCUAUUCCUGUUCUUGUCACUAACAUCUGUUGAUCAAAUCCUUGGCCUGGCACCAGAGUGUCUCCAAUGGAAGCCAUAUAUGGGUCCUCAGUAUCCUCUUCUCUAUCUUUCAGGCCAAUACUAGGAAAACAGAUACAGCAGUUGUGUUUGUACAGACAAAAGGUGUAAGUAAUGUGAUUUUUCGAGUCAAGUGGUUCCCUCAACGUAGUCUCCUGAAGAACAUCACUCCAUUGAACUCAAUUAGAAUUGCGCCUGCGCCUACAGAGGAAAGGGAGAGUGGCUAGGGUUUCCAACCGCCAAGAGUGAGAAGAGCAUCAGGCGAUUUUCCGACAACGUAAUUGGGAAUAAGCUUUUGUUGAUGGGAAGGAAAGGUGCAUAGAUACCAGAGGAGAGAGGACCGAGAGGGAAGUAAAACUGAGUAAGAAAAUCUUUUAAAUUUG
rnacentral:misc_RNA from 1 species